UACGUAGGGUGCAAGCGUUAAUCGGAAUUACUGGGCGUAAAGGCGUGCGCAGGCGGUUAUGUAAGACAGAUGUGAAAUGCCCGGGCUUAACCUGGGAACUUGCGAUUUGUGACUGCAUGGCUAGAGUUUGGCAGAGGGGGGUAGAAUUCCACGUGUAGCAGUGAAAUGCGUAGAUAUGUGGAGGAACACCGAUGGCGAAGGCAGCCCCCUGGGUCAAGACUGACGCUCAUGCACGAAAGCGUGGGGAGCAAACAGG
rnacentral:rRNA from 1 species